rnacentral:rRNA from 1 species
AGAGUUUGAUCAUGGCUCAGAAUGAACGUUGGCGGCGUGGAUUAGGCAUGCAAGUCGAGCGAGAAGUUUACUUCGGUAAAUGGACAGCGGCGAAAGGGACAGUAAUGUGUAGGUACCUACCCCCCGAUCUGGGAUAGCUGCGGGAAACUGCAGGUAAUACCGGAUAAUGUCUUCGGACCAAAGGUGUGAUUCCGUCAGGGGAGGGGCCUGCAUCCUAUUAGCUUGUUGGUGAGGUAAUGGCUCACCAAGGCAACGAUGGGUAGCGGGUGUGAGAGCAUGACCCGCGUCAUUGGGACUGAGACACUGCCCAGACAUCUACGGAUGGCUGCAGUCGAGAAUCUUCGGCAAUGGGCGAAAGCCUGACCGAGCGACGCCGCGUGCGGGAUGAAGGCCCUCGGGUUGUAAACCGCUGUCGUUGGGGAGGAAAUGCAAAAGGGUUAUCCCUUCUGUUUGACCGAUCCAAGGAGGAAGUACGGGCUAAGUUCGUGCCAGCAGCCGCGGUAAGACGAACCGUACGAACGUUAUUCGGAAUUACUGGGCUUAAAGGGUGCGUAGGCUGCACGGAAAGUUGGAUGUGAAAGCCCUCAGCUCAACUGAGGAAUUGCAUCCAAAACUGCCGUGCUUGA